GCACUUUCACUGGCUGUCGUCAUAUCGAUCCCGGUAGCGGGAUGCAGCCAUAAGAAGUUAAUCAAAGCACCUUUCAUCUCAGAGAUCAGGAAGUACCAACUACAUGCAAAGCCUGGCAGCACUAACAUUAACAAACAGCCYGAAUUUACUCUGAUAAGCACAAGCCCUAAAUAGCAGCCACAUUUCCUAGUAAGGAUAACUCUUUUGAGUGUUUCGAGGCCGACUGAUUGGAUCUAUAGGCAGCUACUGAAGCUGAGUUGGACAGACCAGUUGCUGACUAACCAGCCAGACAGAUCACUGAUGCAUUACUGAGAUAGUGAAGUCAGGAACAGCCAUACCAUUGAAUCCUCUGCGGAGGGCACUUUGCAAAGCUGGACAUGGUCUCCUCCAGGUUCUGCCUCAGAUCUGCAAUGUCCUUCACCGUCCGCAGCCGCCUGGCCUCAGGGUCUUCACCUAGG